CGUAGGGGGCGAGCGUUGUCCGGAUUUAUUGGGCGUAAAGAGCUCGUGGGCGGUUCGAUAAGUCGGAUGUGAAAUCUCCACGCUCAACGUGGAGGGGCCAUUCGAUACUGUCGUGACUCGAGUCCGGUAGGGGAGUGUGGAAUUCCCGGUGUAGCGGUGAAAUGCGCAGAGAUCGGGAGGAACACCCGUAGCGAAGGCGGCACUCUGGGCCGGUACUGACGCUGAGGAGCGAAAGCGUGGGGAGCAAACAGGAUUAGAUACCCUGGUAGUCCACGCCGUAAACGUUGGGCACUAGGUGUGGGACUCUAUCGACGGGUUCCGUGCCGUAGCUAACGCAUUAAGUGCCCCGCCUGGGGAGUACGGCCGCAAGGCUA
rnacentral:rRNA from 1 species